CUCACUAAUUUGCUUCAGGUCCUUCUCCUUCAAGACGACUCCCCGUGUCGCUCGUUCCCCGUUCCCCUCUCUCGUCGACGGUGGCGGCUGCCCAGAUCGGCAGAUCCGUUGCUUCCCUGGUCGACGACGGCUACUUCCACGCCACCUAUUCCCUGCCUCCUCCCUUCCUACUCUAGUAUCCAGGUUGCUUGGAUCCGUUCCAGGGCACCCCAACAUCGCGUUGCGCAUCGUCGUCCGGGACCUGGCCGUCGCGACCACGGUUUCCUCCUCCCUGGUGGCCACGGGCGCCCCGCCCGGUCACCUGCACAUUCUUAGAUCCGAAGGGCAAGCUAGUAGAGAUCAAGUGUGUGGUGAUGUUGCCACGGUUUCCUCCUCCCCGUUGCUCCUAGAUCCAGCAAUAGCUCACCGGAGGCAAGGCGUCUCCUCGCCCCGUUCGCCUCGCAGGCUCAGUUGCAAGCACGCAAAGAUUGAUGAGCAAGAUGCACUAUAACUGGAGGCAAAAGGGAAUAGCUUUUCUUCAAUGUGCAAUCAGAUAACAAACCCUAUGCAAGCUUUGGUACUGAUGCGUAUUCAGCGGGGAUCACUUUAGUCCAUACUCAGGGCUCGCUGUUCACGUACUAGAAAAUGAUCGUCAUGUUAUGUACAAGUUAUAUAUGUAUAUGUCUCUUGUGUACUCAAAUUAGGACGGAUGUCAUGCACUAAAAUAUUUCUGCCUAGGGUGAUCCACUUGGACAUGUAUUCGAAAUUUUGUGCUUGACAUGUACUCGUAUAUUUAUGCCUGGGGUGGUCCAGCUUGAGAUUUACUAGGGACAGAAUGAUCUGUUCCAUCUUGGGAUUUGCAA